UACGUAGGGUGCGAGCGUUGUCCGGAAUUAUUGGGCGUAAAGAGCUCGUAGGCGGUUUGUCGCGUCUAUCGUGAAAACUAGCAGCUUAACUGUUGGCGUGCGGUGGAUACGGGCAGACUUGAGUUCGGUAGGGGAGACUGGAAUUCCUGGUGUAGCGGUGAAAUGCGCAGAUAUCAGGAGGAACACCGGUGGCGAAGGCGGGUCUCUGGGCCGAUACUGACGCUGAGGAGCGAAAGCGUGGGGAGCGAACAGG
rnacentral:rRNA from 1 species